CUCCAACCUCAUUUCUUCUUCAAAAUUUCGUGCUCCUCCAUAGCCAUAGACAUCUCAAGCUUUUAUUGCAAAUUCGAGCCCCGUUUUUCAGCAUAUCGGACGUACAAUCGCGUAAACCCCGAUAAAUAAAGGCGAAUAGAUCUAUAGUAAGAAGAUCACUAAGGAAUGGACUUAGAAGGUAGCGAAGCGUCGAAAGGUGAUAAAGGCUUAUGUUCAUAAGCCUACGAGGUUAGAGUUGAUAUUAUGUCAGUGGUGUUGAACAGCUUUGCAUCUUUGGCGAGUCACUAGUGGUCAACUUGGUUUAGUAUUCGUGACAUGUUGUGUAAUAGUUUAAUCUCUAAUCUUCCACUGGAUAAAUGUUAAGUUUUUUUAAAUGUAAUAGAUUUUAAUUGUGCUUUUAAGCUAAAAAGAAAAAGAAAAUUUUCAA